UACGUAGGGUGCAGGCGUUAAUCGGAAUUACUGGGCGUAGCGUGCGCAGGCGGUUUCUUAAGUCAGAUGUGAAAGCCCCGGGCUUAACCUGGGAACUGCGUUUGAAACUGGGAGACUAGAGUGUGGCAGAGGGGGGUGGAAUUCCACGUGUAGCAGUGAAAUGCGUAGAUAUGUGGAGGAACACCGAUGGCGAAGGCAACCCCCUGGGUUAACACUGACGCUCAUGCACGAAAGCGUGGGGAGCAAACAGG
rnacentral:rRNA from 1 species